UUAUUUCAAUAAAAUUCCGAUCCAUAUAUUCAGCUUUCAUGCGUUUGAGACUGAAACUUUAAAAUUUUGUCAUGCUCGAAAAAAAAAAAUCCUUUCUAUUAAAAGAAUUAUGGGAAAACUAUUAAUUAAUCUAUGACAAUUUUAUCAAGGGAAAAAAUAUUAUACUUUCAAUUCCAUCCUAAAUUAAAAAAAAUUACCAAUCAAACUCUAAAAAAAAAUUAUUUGUUAUUAUAUUUUCAAAAUAAGCUCUUGAUUUUUAAUCCCUAAUCUCCAAAAUCGAGAGCUUUCUUACUCUCUUUUAUUCUUCUUCUACUGUUGCAUAUAAAAUUGUUUCGCCAACGAACGUUUUCUUCCUUUCUUUAAUUCAAAGCACAUAGAAAAUGUCUUUUAUAUCUCCAAGUGAUGUCUCCCUACUUGAAGCCAAGAAGUGAUAUUUGAAGUAAUUGUUUUUUGCGAACAUGGGGUAAGAGUUGCUCUAUAUAUAUCGUGGAUAAUGUAAAAUCCAGAACAUAAGUUUUUUUGAUAUGAUGCUUGGAAGAUAAGUAUAAUAAUCUUUGUUUAUGAUUUUUCCCGGUUGAUAUAUUUAUGGUUUUUGUUGGUUCAUAUGAUUAAGUGUACGCAUAUGGUAAUGUGUAACAGUGUAAUCUUAAUAGUUCAGAGUUUAAUUGAAUUUUUUUUUUUAAUUU
rnacentral:misc_RNA from 1 species